UCCUGAAGCCCGGAUGGAUAUAGCCGGGAACUAUUCCUUUUCCUAUAUUUUUACAGUUUGUCCUUGCAGGGUUGGUUCUUUUCAGCUUCUUGGGGUUCUCUUUUUGGGAUUUUUCUCUUCUUCCUUUUCCUUUUUUUUUUAUUCAUCUCCUGAUAGAUUAGGUUGUUUGCCGGAAUCUGAUCACGGGUUCUAUCCAGAUGGUGGUUAUUUCAUCAGAAAUAUCUGAACCACAAGCCCAGAGUCCAGAAGAAAAAUUUUGAACUCGUUCUUACUCUUGAAUUUCUUGUUCCUAGUUGGAAAUAGAAAUUAGGGGGGGAAAAGUUUUUUUUUUUUUUUUUUUUAACUCAUCCAUUUUUUUUGGGUCACGAAUUUAUGUUCUGCAGUACUGUAUAUUCCCUGAUUAGGGUUUCUACCUGUGGCUAUUUUAACCAUUCGUAUGAUGCCACGUCAUCCCAUGCUGGUUGCCGUCGUGGCCAUGGGUUGAAGACGUACAUAAAUCUCAGUGUUGGCCCUCUUCUCACCUUUUUCGUUUUACCCUUCACCGUUCCUUUUUUUUUUUUUUUUUUUUUUUUUGGGGAAUUAAAUCUUGAGUUCUUUAAAUUACAUUUUUCCUUUAAAUUUGUUCUGCAACAAGUGUAGACCUUGGUAUCAUGCAUGGAUGAAUUAAGAGUUGUUGUUUGCAGGUGUAGCAUCAUCAAGAUUCACAUGCAAAAGCCCGGCAGCGGCAGCGAUGCCAUCUUCGCUGCCUCAAGUUUUGGGGGUUGAGAAUCUUGAUGAUGCUGCAUCGGCAAUAGAUGACUAUACUGAAACCCAGAAACUCACUAGUUUUUGAAGCUUAUGAGCAUUUGAAUUGAUGAGGUGAACUCCUUUCAAUCUUCAACCUUUUUCUUUUUCUUUUUCUUAUGCUUCACUUUAAAUCUUCGAUUGGGUGUUGUUUUUAUUCUUCAUUUGCAGGAAAUUGAACAGGUUAUGGUAUGAGGAGAAAGAUGCCGAGGCCCCAAGAUCAAUGAAUUGAGAAGAAAGCAAUGGAAUCAAAGAAGAAAUGCCCCAAGUCAUGACAUGUGGGGUGGUGGGGUGGCUACAGACAAAAGCUGCAUGUUAAGUCAUUUGACAAAUGAAUGAAAGGCGACGGAUCUUGCCUUCUGAAGGUCCACAAGUACAUCUACUGUUGGAAGAAAAAAAAAACAAUGUGAAAAGCAAGCAUUGAGAUCAUAGAAAAUUAGCCUUACUACAGAAAUUUACAAACCUUUCAAUUUUUUUUGUAGGCAUAUAUGCAAAUAAUGCAUCCAUCCCUGUGUAUAUAUCUACACACUUCAUCCUUCAAAUCUCUAUUCAUGCCUUGUGAUAGAUGUUGAGCUCCUCACUAUUUGUGACCUAAA